rnacentral:rRNA from 1 species
UGGGGAAUAUUGCACAAUGGGCGAAAGCCUGAUGCAGCAACGCCGCGUGAGUGAUGAAGGCCUUCGGGUUGUAAAGCUCUGUCUUUUGGGACGAUAAUGACGGUACCAAAGGAGGAAGCCACGGCUAACUACGUGCCAGCAGCCGCGGUAAUACGUAGGCGGCAAGCGUUGUCCGGAUUUACUGGGCGUAAAGGAUGCGUAGGCGGAUUUUUAAGUGAGAUGUGAAAUACCCGGGCUUAACUUGGGUGCUGCAUUUCAAACUGGGAAUCUAGAGUGCGGGAGAGGAGAAUGGAAUUCCUAGUGUAGCGGUGAAAUGCGUAGAGAUUAGGAAGAACACCAGUGGCGAAGGCGAUUCUCUGGACCGUAACUGACGCUGAGGCAUGAAAGCGUGGGUAGCAAACAGGAUUAGAUACCCUGGUAGUCCACGCCGUAAACGAUGAGUACUAGGUGUAGGAGGUAUCGACCCCUUCUGUGCCGCAGUUAACACAAUAAGUACUCCGCCUGGGAAGUACGAUCGCAAGAUUAAAACUCAAAUGAAUUGACGGGGUC